AAUGAUAUAUAUUUCAUGCUUUUAAGUUGGUAUAUAACCCAAAAUAUGUUAUGUGUAAUUAUUUUAUAACUUAGUAAUAUAAGUUUAUUGUUUCGAUUUAAGCACUCCAUAAAUAACAUAAGAAAUAUGAUUAAUCCACUACAAAAAUUAUUUUCUUUCUUAAAAUAUUGGUAUUUUAGAUACAUGCUUGUUACGGAAUUAUACAUGGUUGAAGAAUGGGAAAGAAAUUUCAUCAAUAUAUUUUUUAUUAUACUCUUCUUUUUCUUUUUUAUAUUCAAUUGUAAAAUAGUAUUACCAAUUAUACAGUACAUGUUACAUUCAAAAUCAAUAAUAUUUUAAUUAUAUUUAUUCUAAGAAAAACAAUUUAUUCUUGUAUUUUAAUUAAAAAAAUUU